rnacentral:tRNA from 1 species
GGUCUUGUGGUCUAGUCGCAUGAUUCCUCGUUUGGGCAGUUGCACGUCUCGAGGAGGUCCUGGGUUCAAUUCCCAGUAAGACCC